AUUGAACGCUGGCGGCAGGCUUAACACAUGCAAGUCGAGCGGGGUGAUGGUGCUUGCACUAUCACUUAGCGGCGGACGGGUGAGUAAUGCUUAGGAAUCUGCCUCUUAGUGGGGGACACCAUCUCGAAAGGGAUGCUAAUACCGCAUACGUCCUACGGGAGAAAGCAGGGGAUCAAUUGUGACCUUGAGCUAAUAGAUGAGCCUAAGUCGGAUUAGCUAGUCGGUGGGGUAAAGGCCUACCAAGGCGACGAUGUGUAGCGGGUCUGAGAGGAUGAUCCGCCACACUGGGACUGAGACACGGCCCAGACUCCUACGGGAGGCAGCAGUGGGGAAUAUUGGACAAUGGGGGGAACCCUGAUCCAGCCAUGCCGCGUGUGUGAAGAAGGCCUUAUGGUUGUAAAGCACUUUAAGCGAGGAGGAGGCUCUUUUGGUUAAUACCCAAGAUGAGUGGACGUUACUCGCAGAAUAAGCACCGGCUAACUCUGUGCCAGCCGCCGCAGUAA
rnacentral:rRNA from 1 species